GAUGAACGCUGACAGAAUGCUUAACACAUGCGAGUCUUUGGUGAAGCUGUGCUUGCACAGCCUAGCCAAGGCGGACGGGUGAGUAACGCGUAAGGAACUUGCCCUGCAGUCAGGGAUAACAGACGGAAACGACUGAUAAGACCUGGUAAAGUCAGGCGGACUCAUGUCCAGCCUGAUGAAAAGAGAUGCUGCAGGAGAGCCUUGCGUCCUAUUAGCUUGUUGGUGGGGUAACGGCCCACCAAGGCAAUGAUAGGUAGCCGGCCUGAGAGGGUGGACGGCCACAAGGGGACUGAGAUACGGCCCUUACUCCUACGGGAGGCAGCAGUGGGGAAUAUUGGACAAUGGGGGCAACCCUGAUCCAGCAAUUCUGUGUGCACGAUGAAGGUUUUCGGAUUGUAAAGUGCUUUCAGCAGGGAAGAAAAAAAUGACGGUACCUGCAGAAGAAGCGACGGCUAAAUACGUG
rnacentral:rRNA from 1 species